GAUGAACGCUGGCGGCGUGCCUAAUACAUGCAAGUCGAGCGAACGGACGAGAAGCUUGCUUCUCUGAUGUUAGCGGCGGACGGGUGAGUAACACGUGGAUAACCUACCUAUAAGACUGGGAUAACUUCGGGAAACCGGAGCUAAUAUCGGAUAAUAUUUUGAACCGCAUGGUUCAAAAGUGAAAGACGGUCUUGCUGUCACUUAUAGAUGGAUCCGCGCUGCAUUAGCUAGUUGGUAAGGUAACGGCUUACCAAGGCAACGAUGCAUAGCCGACCUGAGAGGGUGAUCGGCCACACUGGAACUGAGACACGGUCCAGACUCCUACGGGAGGCGGCAGUAGGGAAUCUUCCGCAAUGGGCGAAAGACUGACGGAGCAACGCCGCGUGAGUGAUGAAGGUCUUCGGAUCGUAAAACUCUGUUAUUAGGGAAGAACAUAUGUGUAAGUAACUGUGCACAUCUUGACGGUACCUAAUCAGAAAGCCACGGCUAACUACGUG
rnacentral:rRNA from 1 species